UGGGGAAUAUUGGACAAUGGGCGCAAGCCUGAUCCAGCCAUGCCGCGUGUGUGAAGAAGGCCUUUUGGUUGUAAAGCACUUUAAGCGAGGAGGAGGCUACUUGGAUUAAUACUCUAGGAUAGUGGACAUUACUCGCAGAAUAAGCACCGGCUAACUCUGUGCCAGCAGCCGCGGUAAUACAGAGGGUGCGAGCGUUAAUCGGAUUUACUGGGCGUAAAGCGUGCGUAGGCGGCUUUUUAAGUCGGAUGUGAAAUCCCUGAGCUUAACUUAGGAAUUGCAUUCGAUACUGGGAAGCUAGAGUAUGGGAGAGGAUGGUAGAAUUCCAGGUGUAGCGGUGAAAUGCGUAGAGAUCUGGAGGAAUACCGAUGGCGAAGGCAGCCAUCUGGCCUAAUACUGACGCUGAGGUACGAAAGCAUGGGGAGCAAACAGG
rnacentral:rRNA from 1 species